rnacentral:lncRNA from 7 species
AAUCCCCACGAUUUCGUUUUCCAGCGCCAUUCUCCUUCCUUCGCGCCUUCAUCUGGUCGCACGCGCGAGCUGUGGCGGCUAUAUGUGGUGCGUGCGAGCCGUGGCGGCUAUCUGUGUUGCUUCCCAUCGCGUGCUGGCCGUGCUUCACUGCAUGCGACCUCGAUAAAUCCCGGAAGCGGCGCUUCUCCGACGAAGGGAACCAAAUCAACAGCGAUGGGAAAUCGAUCAGCACCGGCUCAGGAUCGAUGUAGAGAUAUGGCAAAUCAGAUUUGUUGAAGAACUAGAUGUGGCCUGUAGGUGCUUCGGUAAUUUCCCGUAUGGAAAUAGUUGUAGGGGAAACAUCGGGUCCCUUUAUAGAAGCGAACUGGUAGGAUAACUCUGCAACUAGUAUGUUUUUUUGCAAAUAAAUUCAGGCUGUAAAUAGCUUUAGGUGAACAUCUAUGCAAGUCUGACCCUCAAAUUUUAUUAAUUGUAUAUGUGCCGAUAUUUUCGUUGCUUGUAUAUGAGAAUAUUUCUGAUUUAU